CAACUUUACUAAAAGUGAAUGGGGGUGAUUAAAGUUACAUUUUUAUUACCCUAGAGCACACCAAAUUUGCAGAGAAAACAUACUGCAGAGGAAGCUGAGUCAUGACUGCUUGAGAACCUGCUGUUCAUGUGCAAUUCUCCUUUGAUAGUUCCUGGGCACUGUUGUCACGGUGAUGAUGACUGUCCUGUGUCAUUUUCUAUUCACCAACACUAGGAGAAGCUUUGCAGUUCGGAUAUUGUUUAACAGAUGGGGUAGCUUCUGUUGGACACUAAGUACUGCUACAAAU